rnacentral:lncRNA from 1 species
AGGUCUGGCAAGACGAUACAAACCGCCGGCAUUUUUAAUAUUGGCAAGUAGGUGUUCUUCUGGUAACAGAAGUAACAAAAGUUCCUCUAAGGAAAAAUAGAGUGGACGAGGAGCACGACCCCACACUGACGCUAGGCCAUAACUUGAAUAACGCUUCCACGGUACUCGGAGGAUAAAAUUCAAAACUGGUAACAGUGAUGAACCGGCCGCUCUGGUAAAC